CCUACGGGAGGCAGCAGUGAGGAAUAUUGGUCAAUGGGCGAGAGCCUGAACCAGCCAAGUCGCGUGAGGGAGUACUGCCCUAUGGGUUGUAAACCUCUUUUGUCGGGGAGCAAAAGCCGGACGUGUCCGGCUGUGAGAGUACCCGAAGAAACAGCAUCGGCUAACUCCGUGCCAGCAGCCGCGGUAAUACGGAGGAUGCGAGCGUUAUCCGGAUUUAUUGGGUUUAAAGGGUGUGCAGGCGGAUUUUUAAGUCAGCGGUAAAAUCGUGGGGCUCAACCCCAUCCAGCCGUUGAAACUGGGGAUCUAGAGUGUGCGAGAGGUAUGCGGAAUGCGUGGUGUAGCGGUGAAAUGCAUAGAUAUCACGCAGAACCCCGAUUGCGAAGGCAGCAUACCGGUGCACAACUGACGCUCAGGCACGAAAGCGUGGGUAUCGAACAGGAUUAGAUACCCGUGUAGUC
rnacentral:rRNA from 1 species